rnacentral:lncRNA from 1 species
GGAGUACUUAUGCUAUAGCCACCUAUGUUUACAAUACUUUUAUAUGGCUUUGAUGCACUUUUUAUGAUUUAACUAGAACUAACCCAGACUGACGUUGUUUUCAGCAGAAUUACCGUGGUGUCAUUUUGUGUGUGCAGAAAACGGAAGUUCUCGGAAUCGCCUGAAAUGCUUUGGUGAUUUUGUCUGGAAUAUAGGAGCAACAUUGGAACGAAGAACCACCGGAGAGGGCACUAAUACAGAAAUGGUUAGCC